AAUCAACGCUGGCGGCGUGCCUCAGACAUACAAGUCGAACGAUUAAGACUUCCUUCGGGAAGUGCAUAAAGUGGCGCACGGGUGAGUAACACGUAAGUAAUCUACCCUCGAGUGGGGAAUAACGUUCGGAAACGAACGCUAAUACCGCAUAAUGCAGCGGCAUCGCAAGAUGACAGUUGUUAAAGGAGUAAUUCGCUUGAGGAGGAGCUUGCGGCGGAUUAGCUAGUUGGUAAGGUAACGGCUUACCAAGGCUACGAUCUGUAUCCGGUCUAAGAGGACGGUCGGACACACUGACACUGAAUAACGGGUCAGACUCCUACGGGAGGCAGCAGUCGGGAGUUUUGGGCAAUGGGCGAAAGCCUGACCCAGCAACGCCGCGUGAAGGAUGAAGUAUUUCGGUAUGUAAACUUCGAAAGAAUGGGAAGAAUAAAUGACGGUACCAUUUAUAAGCUCCGGCUAACUACGUGCCAGCAGCCGCUGUAAAAC
rnacentral:rRNA from 1 species